rnacentral:rRNA from 1 species
UACGUAGGGUGCAAGCGUUAAUCGGAAUUACUGGGCGUAAAGCGUGCGCAGGCGGUUUUGUAAGUCCGAUGUGAAAUCCCCGGGCUUAACCUGGGAACUGCGUUUGAAACUACAAGGCUAGAGUGUGGCAGAGGGGGGUGGAAUUCCCGGUGUAGCGGUGAAAUGCGUAGAGAUCGGGAGGAACAUCAGUGGCGAAGGCGGCCAUCUGGGACAACACUGACGCUGAGGCACGAAAGCGUGGGGAGCAAACAGG